rnacentral:pre_miRNA from 1 species
UAACUUCUCCCUCCGUUCCAAAAUUCUUGUCUUAAAUUUGUCUAGAUAUGAAUGUAUCUAGUCACGUUUUAAUAUUUAAAUACAUUCAUUUUUAGACAAACCUAAGACAAGAAUUUUGGGACGGAGAAAGUCUG